AGCGAACGCUGGCGGCAGGCCUAACACAUGCAAGUCGAACGGACCCUUCGGGGUUAGUGGCGGACGGGUGAGUAACACGUGGGAACGUGCCUUUAGGUUCGGAAUAGCUCCUGGAAACGGGUGGUAAUGCCGAAUGUGCCCUUCGGGGGAAAGAUUUAUCGCCUUUAGAGCGGCCCGCGUCUGAUUAGCUAGUUUGUGAGGUAAUGGCUCAACAAGGCGACGAUCAGUAGCUGGUCUGAGAGGAUGACCAGCCACAUUGGGACUGAGACACGGCCCAAACUCCUGCGGGAGGCAGCAGUGGGGAAUCUUGCGCAAUGGGCUAAAGCCUGACGCAGCCAUGCCUCGUGGAUGAUGAAGGUCUUAGGAUUGUAAAAUCCUUUCACCGGUGAAGAUAAUGACUGUAGCCGGAGAAGAAGCCCCGGCUAACUUCGUGCCAGCCGCCGCGGUAAAAC
rnacentral:rRNA from 1 species